UGCCUAAAGACACCACCAUUCUAGGUACCACCUGCCCAGUGAAAACCUAUUUCAACGGCCGCGGGAACCCGUGCGAAGGUAGCAUAAUCACUUGCCCCUUAAUUAGGGGCUCGUAUGAACGGAUCAACGAGAAAUUACCUGUCUCUAGUGUAAAACUAUAACCUAUCCUUUAUGUGAAAAGACAUAAAUUAAAAUAGAAGACAAGAAGACCCUACUGCACUUAAUUAUAACGUCCGAACUAACCACCUAAUUAAUUUCGUUGGGGCGACACAGGAUCACUCCACUCAUCCUUUAAACCCACAGAGCACCACCUCCCACUAAUUGACCCUAAAAAGAUUAAUGACCAAGCCACCAUAGGGAUAACAGGCCAAUCCCCUCUUAGAGCCCUAAUCGACGAGGGGGGUUGGCACCUCGAUGUUGGCUUAGGGUACCAUAUAGGCGCAGCCGCCUAUAAACUUAGGUUUGUUCAACCUCCGUCGACCCU
rnacentral:rRNA from 1 species